rnacentral:rRNA from 1 species
GGUUUAAUUCGAUGAUACGCGAGGAACCUUACCCGGGCUUGAAAGUUAGCGACGAUUCUUGAAAGAGGAUUUCCCUUCGGGGCGCGAAACUAGGUGCUGCAUGGUUGUCGUCAGCUCGUGCCGUGAGGUGUCGGGUUAAGUCCCAUAACGAGCGCAACCCCUACCGUUAGUUGCCAUCAGGUGAAGCUGGGCACUCUGGCGGGACUGCCGGUGUAAGCCGAGA